UACAGAGGGUGCAAGCGUUGCUCGGAUUUACUGGGCGUAAAGCGUGCGCAGACGGCUGAGCAAGUUGGACGUGAAAGCCUGGGGCUCAACCCCAGAAUUGCGUUCAAUACUACUCGGCUCGAGUAUGAGAGAGGGAAGUGGAAUUCCUGGUGUAGAGGUGAAAUUCGUAGAUAUCAGGAGGAACACCAGCGGCGAAGGCGGCUUCCUGGCUCAUUACUGACGUUCAGGCACGAAAGCGUGGGGAGCAAACAGG
rnacentral:rRNA from 1 species